UACGUGAGGGUGCAAGCGUUAAUCGGAAUUACUGGGCGUAAAGCGUGCGCAGGCGGUUUUGUAAGUUUGUCGUGAAAGCCCCGGGCUCAACCUGGGGAAUUGCGAUGAAGACUGCAAGGCUUGAAUCUGGCAGAGGGGGGUAGAAUUCCAGGUGUAGCGGUGAAAAUGCGUAGAUAUCUGGAGGAAUACCGGUGGCGAAGGCGGCAUCCUGGACCGGCAUGACGCUGAUGAGCGAAAGCUAGGGGAGCAAACAGGGG
rnacentral:rRNA from 1 species